GCGGUCGUGGCGGAAUUGGCAGACGCGCACGGUUGAGGGCCGUGUGCCGCGAGGCGUGUGGGUUCAAGUCCCACCGACCGCACCA
rnacentral:tRNA from 1 species